CGGAAUCUGCCUAUUUGUGGGGGAUAACGUAGGGAAACUUACGCUAAUACCGCAUACGACCUACGGGUGAAAGCGGAGGACCCUCGGGCUUCGCGCAGAUAGAUGAGCCGAUGUCGGAUUAGCUAGUUGGCGGGGUAAAGGCCCACCAAGGCGACGAUCCGUAGCUGGUCUGAGAGGAUGAUCAGCCACACUGGAACUGAGACACGGUCCAGACUCCUACGGGAGGCAGCAGUAGGGAAUAUUGGACAAUGGGCGCAAGCCUGAUCCAGCCAUGCCGCGUGGGUGAAGAAGGCCUUCGGGUUGUAAAGCCCUUUUGUUGGGAAAGAAAAGCAGUCGGUUAAUACCCGAUUGUUCUGACGGUACCCAAAGAAUAAGCACCGGCUAACUUCGUGCCAGCAGCCGCGGUAAUACGAAGGGUGCAAGCGUUACUCGGAAUUACUGGGCGUAAAGCGUGCGUAGGUGGUUUGUUAAGUCUGAUGUGAAAGCCCUGGGCUCAACCUGGGAAUUGCAUUGGAUACUGGCAGGCUAGAGUGCGGUAGAGGGUAGUGGAAUUCCCGGU
rnacentral:rRNA from 1 species